AUGUAUACCUGGGAAAGGAGCCCGUGGCACCGCGCAGCGCAACAGCACGUACAUGUAUUUCCUCUGCACCUUCAAUGUCAUUUGUGUAAUGUUCUGAGCGCUCUGGUGCUCAGCUCCUGUUGGGGGUGGAUUUUGUUUCCUUGUGGCCGACAUGUGGACCUGGGGAUGCUGAAGGGGUGGGUGAGCUGUGAUGCCUACGAGGGAAAUAAAUCGGGAUGCGACCCUUUCUCUGCUUUUCCUGAUGCUGAUCCCAUCAGCAAAAGCGUUUCUUGAUGCAGAUGCUUCUUUUGCAAGUUGGGUUUCUCCUCUCUCAGAGCCAGGAGAAAUAAAUGGCUGUUAGCGUGGUGCAAGCCUGCAUGGGCACAGACAGCCCCGGCACGCUCCGGUGAGCAGUGGGGAGGGGGAUGCGUAUGGAGGGGUGAUUUAUUUUGUCACGUGAAGAACUGAGGCUCAAGUAACUCAGAAUUUCCUCCGCUUUGUUACUGCAGAGAAAAAAAUCUUGGCUUGUGAGACAGUGCAGUGCUGGGGCUGCUGAGAGGGACUGGGAAGGAGCUCUGCAGCCCAAAUGGCAUUAGGCACAAUGAGGGAGCGUGCUCUCCUGUUGAUCACCCAUCUUGCCAGCACGCGACUCCUGCUUUGUAGGGCACACUGGCGGUGUAAAGCUGCCUCCCAGUAUCUGACCAGAGCAAGAAUAACUUCAUGCUGUCUGUAGGCUAGCCUCCACCAAGGCAUCUUUUUCCAUUCCCACUGUAGCGAUUGCAAACGCCGUUAAAAUUAAUCUUGAAUGUGGUGAUGGGACUAAUAGUGGAAGGCGCUGUUUUAGCAGUGUUUGCCUGCAGCUAAAUCGCUCCGUGCUGGUAAGAAGUUGAUACGUGGGGACGGAGGAGGAAGACCUAGAACAAUGUAAGUUCAGUGCAUAAUGCAUCCAGCCUGGUUUCCUGCAUGAUAAUGGAUAUGCGCUGCGACUGCAUGGAGCGUAAUCAGGGCUGUACGUUAUGGAGAGGCUGUCGUGGCUGUUGCUCAGCAGCUGGAAGCGAAAUCGCAGAGAACAGAGGGGGCAGGUUGGAGUUGUACAGCAAUCCUGUUCCUGAAUUGCCGAGGGCUUGCUUCUUGGUAGACAUUAGGUAAUCUGGGUUUUACUUGCGGGGAUAACGCAGUUCCUGCAGGGAGUUUUCUUGGAUGUUGGAAACGCUCACCAGUGAGAUGGAUAAAGCACAUUCUUAUGGCAGGGACUCAAACGUACGUCAGGCUCUUUUUUUUAGCAAGGUUGUUUGUCAGUCUUUCGUGGUGGUGGAUGUAAUGUAGUUAAUUGCGUCUGUGUAAUAAGGGAGGGUGGGGGCUUUGUCUUCUGCUUGUGUCCUGGGUCCCCUAUUACAAGUGUAAGAGGUAACCAGGGGGUUACUGAGGGGGAUUGAGUGAUGUUUGGAGUUUGUUGCAUUUGUCUUCUGCUCAGCUGAGAAGUGGGGCUGUAUUCAUACUGCCUUCCUACGCUGACUGCUGGAAAGAAAGUGCAUAGUGAAAGUGUACAUACAAACAUCUUUAUAUGGAGAUUUUGAAUGGAUGCUUGAAGCGCUGUGAUCUUAAAUUGCAUUCCACCGAUAAAGCUUGGGUACUGGAGGGUUUUACCUUCAUACAUCUGCAAUUUUCACCUUUCAUCUCAAUCCCUUAGACUAUCUCAUAGACUAGAACAGUUCAGCAGACUACUACAGAAGUGAAGGAUGCCAGCUGGGCACACAACACUGGCUGUUGCACUCCAGCCCUGUGAGCUGCAGAAGGGAGGCUUCUUGAGGAGCAGCAGUGCAGUGCUGUGGUUUUUUGCUGGUAGGCUGAAGGUUGGUGAGUCCUUUCAGCUUGCCAGGGCUCUUGCUUUCACUGAAACCAUUCAUCUCUGUAAAUUCAGGAAAAAUAAUUUUGACUUGGAGUUUUCAUGUCUUGAGUAGUUGUAGAAGGUGUAUUUGUGACGAUUGGGAGUGUAAGCUGCAUCUUGUAUGCAUGUUGUACUUUUCUGUACCCCUGUAAUAAAUGGGUCAGUGGGUCAUGGUUGCUAUCCUGGAGUACAAGGCUUAAAGUCUGACCUUUUGCAGUGCAAGGUGCUAUUAAAGAAAACAGUAUUGAAUUCCAUUGGAUUGUCAGAACGUGGAGUUGGAGCUAAAAUGAACACUGAUCAGCUGAAAAUCUCACUGUCUGGUGACUGUCAGUAAUGCUUAAGCAGCAGUAAGGCUGAGUUGGGCUUUAUUUGACAUCAGCUGAUUUCAUCACAGAAGGUGCUGUAGAUCAUCGCCCUGAAAGAAUUCAACAAAAUGGUCUGAAAGGUUUUUAUGGGUUGUGAGAUGUUCCAGUGCCUGGAUCAAUGCUUUUUGUUUCCUGUUGGGAAGGAGUCUGUUGGUUUUUUUUUGUUUCUUUGCUUGUGUUAUGUCAACUUAAUUGUAAGCCAGCGUGGCAGCCCCAGGGGAAGUGGACUUAUAUACACAAACAGGUACAACACUGCGUGUGCAUGGAGCAAAUGGAACCAUCCCAGGGCAGAGGAGGUCCCCGAGGAGCUGCCAAGCUGUUCAGCCAUCACUGAUACCAGAACGGUGAUGCCCACGUGGUCCAAAUGCCUCUUCUUUCUGCACACACAGAAACAGGAAUGCAGGAGAUAGGCUUCAUGUGCAGAGCUGUGUCAGCUUAUGCUCACACUGGUGUGAGGUUUAGCAAGGUUUGUGCUCUGGUGUGAGUAAAACAGAGGGAAAUCUGUCUCUUGUUAUCAGAGGGCAGCCUGAGCUGGGGAGGUCAGCCAGCCCACAGCAAGGGUUGGGACCAGAAGAUCUUUGAGAUCCCUUCCAACCCAAACCAUUCUGUUAUUGGAUGGUUUUAAAUUACACAUGUGCACGUCAUGUCUGUAUGAAACCAUCCUGGGACUUGUGGAUUGAGGUGCACUGUGAUUUGGAUGAUGACAUCCUGACAGUGACCAAGUAGGCGUACCUGCAUCAUGAUGUUUUUGCUUUGACCUGCUGUCCCCAGACACAGAUUGCCCUCAUAAAGGCCCAUUAAAAAUCACUUUGCUCUCUGGGAUGCUUAACUUGCUGUGUUUUCAGUUAGCCAUGCUGAACCUUGAAAAAGAGAGUGUGUGAGCUUCCAGCAGGAUAUCUGGAGUUCAGAAAUCUCCGCAGAAGAUUAAGCAAGUUAGAGAGAGAAAUUAGCCCUGAUCCCUUUCUGCCAGCAUAGGAUUAUCCUGCAGCACACCGGUUUUGAAGUUUAUGUCUAAUCCAGUUUUACACAUCCCAGGGGACUGUGCUCCUUACGGCUUCUGCAGAGCAGUUGCGUGGUGGAGCCUCUGCUUUAGAGGUACUUGAGAUUCAAUUUGCAUUUCCAUUACUGCAUCCCAUUUCAUCCUGUGCUGUAUACUUAAUGUCUCUGCUUUGUAGGGUAUGGCUUUUGAAGACAUAUGGAUCGUUACUGUGCUUGUGCUGCUUUAUGUGCUUACUGCACACAUAGCUGGGUGAUCUGAACCCCAUUCUUACACAUAACUUGUGUUUAGGGCUGUUGAGCAUAUUUGUGUACAAGAGGGGUUGUGGCAGUCAGUGUGGAUCGUAGUGCAUCGACACAAGUGGCGUGAAACAAGGUGAGAUGAGCCAAGUGUGCAGCAGUAUUGCUAGUCAGGGCAAAAAGGAGCAAAUGCUGCUGCCUUCCAGCAAGGUGCAAGGCUUAAAUGGUCAGUCUGGGAGUUUUCCAUGCAGCGUGGUAUGAGUUUGUAAAACCAUAAUUGUUCUUUUCUAAUAAAUGUGUAUUUCCAGGCUGAAAAACAACUUGUCUG